rnacentral:rRNA from 1 species
UGGGGAAUCUUGGACAAUGGGGGCAACCCUGAUCCAGCCAUGCCGCGUGAGUGAUGAAGGCCUUAGGGUCGUAAAGCUCUUUCGCCUGUGAAGAUAAUGACGGUAGCAGGUAAAGAAACCCCGGCUAACUCCGUGCCAGCAGCCGCGGUAAUACGGAGGGGGUUAGCGUUGUUCGGAAUUACUGGGCGUAAAGCGCACGUAGGCGGACCAGAAAGUUGGGGGUGAAAUCCCGGGGGCUCAACCCCGGAACUGCCUCCAAAACUAUUGGUCUAGAGUUCGAGAGAGGUGAGUGGAAUUCCAAGUGUAGAGGUGAAAUUCGUAGAUAUUUGGAGGAACACCAGUGGCGAAGGCGGCUCACUGGCUCGAUACUGACGCUGAGGUGCGAAAGUGUGGGGAGCAAACAGGAUUAGAUACCCUGGUAGUCCACGCCGUAAAACGGUGGGGCGCUAGGUGUGGGGAUCGUUUCCACGAUCUCCGUGCCGUAGCUAACGCAUUAA